rnacentral:rRNA from 1 species
GACGAACGCUGGCGGCGUGCUUAACACAUGCUAGUCGAACGGAAAGGCCCUGCUUGCAGGGUACUCGAGUGGCGAACGGGUGAGUAACACGUGGGUGAUCUGCCCUGCACUUCGGGAUAAGCCUGGGAAACUGGGUCUAAUACCGGAUAGGAGCCAUUUUUAGUGUGAUGGUUGGAAAGUUUUUUCGGUGUAGGAUGAGCUCGCGGCCUAUCAGCUUGUUGGUGGGGUAAUGGCCUACCAAGGCGGCGACGGGUAGCCGGCCUGAGAGGGUGGACGGCCACAUUGGGACUGAGAUACGGCCCAGACUCCUACGGGAGGCAGCAGUGGGGAAUAUUGCACAAUGGGCGCAAGCCUGAUGCAGCGACGCCGCGUGGGGGAUGACGGCCUUCGGGUUGUAAACUCCUUUCGCUAGGGACGAAGCUUUUUGUGACGGUACCUAGAGAAGAAGCACCGGCUAACUACGUG